AACGAACGCUGGCGGCAUGCCUAACACAUGCAAGUCGAACGAGACCUUCGGGUCUAGUGGCGCACGGGUGCGUAACGCGUGGGAACCUGCCCUUAGGUUCGGAAUAACUCCCCGAAAGGGGUGCUAAUACCGGUUAAUGUCUUCGGACCAAAGAUUUAUCGCCUUUGGAUGGGCCCGCGUUGGAUUAGCUAGUUGGUAGGGUAAAAGCCUACCAAGGCGACGAUCCAUAGCUGGUCUGAGAGGAUGAUCAGCCACACUGGGACUGAGACACGGCCCAGACUCCUACGGGAGGCAGCAGUGGGGAAUAUUGGACGAUGGGCGAAAGCCUGAUCCAGCAAUGCCGCGUGAGUGAUGAAGGCAUUAGGGUUGUAAAGCUCUUUUACCCGGGAUGAUAAUGACAGUACCGGGAGAAUAAGCUCCGGCUAACUCCGUG
rnacentral:rRNA from 1 species